rnacentral:rRNA from 1 species
AAAUUGAAGAGUUUGAUCAUGGCUCAGAUUGAACGCUGGCGGCAGGCCUAACACAUGCAAGUCGAACGGUAACAGAAAGCAGCUUGCUGCUUUGCUGACGAGUGGCGGACGGGUGAGUAAUGUCUGGGAAACUGCCUGAUGGAGGGGGAUAACUACUGGAAACGGUAGCUAAUACCGCAUAACGUCGCAAGACCAAAGAGGGGGACCUUCGGGCCUCUUGCCAUCGGAUGUGCCCAGAUGGGAUUAGCUUGUUGGUGGGGUAACGGCUCACCAAGGCGACGAUCUCUAGCUGGUCUGAGAGGAUGACCAGCCACACUGGAACUGAGACACGGUCCAGACUCCUACGGGAGGCAGCAGUGGGGAAUAUUGCACAAUGGGCGCAAGCCUGAUGCAGCCAUGCCGCGUGUAUGAAGAAGGCCUUCGGGUUGUAAAGUACUUUCAGCGGGGAGGAAGGGAGUAAAGUUAAUACCUUUGCUCAUUGACGUUACCCACAGAAGAAGCACCGGCUAACUCCGUGCCAGCAGCCGCGGUAAUACGGAGGGUGCAAGCGUUAAUCGGAAUUACUGGGCGUAAAGCGCACGCAGGCGGUUUGUUAAGUCAGAUGUGAAAUCCCCGGGCUCAACCUGGGAACUGCAUCUGAUACUGGCAAGCUUGAGUCUCGUAGAGGGGGGUAGAAUUCCAGGUGUAGCGGUGAAAUGCGUAGAGAUCUGGAGGAAUACCGGUGGCGAAGGCGGCCCCCUGGACGAAGACUGACGCUCAGGUGCGAAAGCGUGGGGAGCAAACAGGAUUAGAUACCCUGGUAGUCCACGCCGUAAACGAUGUCGACUUGGAGGUUGUGCCCUUGAGGCGUGGCUUCCGGAGCUAACGCGUUAAGUCGACCGCCUGGGGAGUACGGCCGCAAGGUUAAAACUCAAAUGAAUUGACGGGGGCCCGCACAAGCGGUGGAGCAUGUGGUUUAAUUCGAUGCAACGCGAAGAACCUUACCUGGUCUUGACAUCCACGGAAGUUUUCAGAGAUGAGAAUGUGCCUUCGGGAACCGUGAGACAGGUGCUGCAUGGCUGUCGUCAGCUCGUGUUGUGAAAUGUUGGGUUAAGUCCCGCAACGAGCGCAACCCUUAUCCUUUGUUGCCAGCGGUCCGGCCGGGAACUCAAAGGAGACUGCCAGUGAUAAACUGGAGGAAGGUGGGGAUGACGUCAAGUCAUCAUGGCCCUUACGACCAGGGCUACACACGUGCUACAAUGGCGCAUACAAAGAGAAGCGACCUCGCGAGAGCAAGCGGACCUCAUAAAGUGCGUCGUAGUCCGGAUUGGAGUCUGCAACUCGACUCCAUGAAGUCGGAAUCGCUAGUAAUCGUGGAUCAGAAUGCCACGGUGAAUACGUUCCCGGGCCUUGUACACACCGCCCGUCACACCAUGGGAGUGGGUUGCAAAAGAAGUAGGUAGCUUAACCUUCGGGAGGGCGCUUACCACUUUGUGAUUCAUGACUGGGGUGAAGUCGUAACAAGGUAACCGUAGGGGAACCUGCGGUUGGAUCACCUCCUUACCUUAAAGAAGC